UCUCCGGUCUCUUCUUUUAGGCUGAUGAAUCCGAUUGAUACCACCUUCUGGUAUACACAGCCUGAAGCUAAUGACUGCAAAAUAAUUCAAACCAGAUUGUUGAAUAGAAGUACAUUUGAACUUGCUCUACCGGUUGGUUGUCCAUGGUGUUGGUCCUUCAGAUGGUCAAAAUUUGAGACUCAAAAUAUCCACAGGAAAAUACACAACGCCGGCAUACUACUAAGUGAUAGAAAUUUCAACAUCAGUACCGCCACUCUAAAAAGUUGUGUUAACAGUACUUUCCUGUGGAUAUUUUGACCAUCUGAAGGAUCAACACCACGGACCACCAGUAGAGUAAGUUUCAAUGUCAUUUUAUUUAACAUUCUGGCUUGUAAAGAGAACUGAAAUGAUUUUGCAAUCAUUAGCUUCAGUCUGUAUACCAGAAGGUGGUAAGUGCCUUCCCGAAAGCAUUCACACCCCUUGACCUAUUUCACUUUUUUAUUUGUGACCGCCUGAAUUCAAAACGGAUGAAAUAAAAAUUCUAACCCGUCUACACAAAAUACCCCAUAAUGACAGUGGAAAUAUUUGCGUGAUUAUUGAAAAUGAAAUGCAAAAAUAUAUGUCAACUAUUCGCAUCCCAGAGUCAAUUCUUUGUAGAAGCACCUUAGGCAGUGAUUACAGCUGUGAGUCUCUCUGGGUUAUUGUUCUGCUGAAAGGUGAAUUAUUUUCCCAGUGUCUGGUGGAAAGCAGAAGAUACCAGGAUUUCCUCUAGGAUCUUGCUUGUGUUUAGCUCAUUCUGUCUUUUUUCGUUUUUAUCCUGAAACUACCCCAGUCUGCAAUGAUAAGCAUACCCAUAACAUGAUGCAACCACCACUGCUUGACAAUAUGAAGAGGUGUGAAAUACCCAGCAACGUUGCAAUUCUUGACACACUCAAACUGGUGAGCCUGGCACCUACCAUACCCUGUUCAAAGGUACUUCAAUAUUUUGUCCUGCCCAUUCACCCUCUGAAUGACAUAUAUACAUGAUCCAUGUCGCAAGGCUUAACAAUCCUCCUUUAACCGGUCUCUUCAUAUACACUGAUUGAACAGGUGACCUCUGUAAGGAUCAUAGCAUUCACCUGGUCAGUCUGUCAUGGAAAGUACACUGUGUAUAUCUUUUCUACAUACUUAGUGUGGUUUUAGUCAUUUAAGUUUACUUUGAAAUAGUUUUACCAUUUUAGAAUUUUUAAAAAUUCAUAGGGGAAAUGCUGAAAUAACCAUUUUAAUUUGAGGCCUAUACUCUAGCGACAGCUGGAUUUAAGACUAGG